rnacentral:rRNA from 1 species
CACGUAGGUGGUUUCGUAUGUCGAUGGUGAAAUCCUACAGCUCAACUGUAGAACUGCCGUCGAAACUGCGGAGCUAGAGGACAGGAGGGGAGAGUGGAAUUCCUAGUGUAGCGGUGAAAUGCGUAGAUAUUAGGAGGAACGCCGGUGGCGAAAGCGACUCUCUGGACUGUUUCUGACACUGAGGUGCGAAAGCUAGGGGAGCAAACA